CCAGCCUAUGAAACAGUAUGGUAGACAAGCUGCAAAGUUUCAUAAAGUCUCAACAACGGCCAACAUGGAAAUUGGAAAAGUUAGAACAAAUAGACCAAGCCUGGGGAAAUUUACUGAACUCUGGGGCUCCCUUCCAAGUAUGGUGAUCGGUAACCCAAAUUAAACUCACUAAGGUGUCCUGAAAAAAAUGGGGUCAAUAAAAGAUAAUGUCAAUCUGGAACACACCCUCUGAAUUGGGACUAAACCCCAAGCCAAUGAAUGGAGAAUGAGCAACAAGUUAUAGCUCCAGGGGCCUGGUAAGAGUGAAGAAGGGAAAAGUCUACAGAAAAAGUAAUAGUUCAGGGAAGACUUUAUCUUAGCAGGAGCAGAAGAAGGGAUGAAGUUAAAUCCAUCCACUGGGACAGGCCAGGUUUGCUGGUGAUUAGAGGAGAAGCCUGCUGUUUAGCCAUUCUGCUUUGUAUAGAGUCUACUUACACAGCUUCAGACUUAGGAUUGGGUUGCCAAGAAGGUGGGGACAUGCAGACACCAAAAUGUGCUGCGUCUCUCUCUGUCUCUCUGUAUCCUCCUACCCACAUGAUGUCCACUGCCCUUUUUGCAGAACUGCAUUCUGGUUUGGCAAUAUCCCAUGUCUUGGACUUUUGCCAAUUGUCUCUUCUUUGCCUCAUUUAAAGCUUUCUCUCUCCCUUUUUUUUUUUUUUUUAGAUGGAGUCUCUGUUGCCAGGCUGGAGUGCAGUGACAUGAUCUCACUGCAACCUCCGCCUCCCAGGUGCAAGUGAUUCUCCUGCCUCAGCCUCCUGAGUAGCUGGGAUUACUGGAGUGCACCACCACACCCAGCUAAUUUUCGUAUUUUUAGUAGAGAUGGGGUUUCACAAUGUUGGCCAGGAUGGUCUCGAUCUCUUGACCUCGUGAUCCGCCCACCUCGGCUUCCCAAAGGCAUUCUCUCUUUAUUCCCCAAUAUAGUCCCUCAAGGUCUUGCCAAAGGCCUGGUUAGAAAGAUUAAAAAAGAAAAAAACACACACACAGAAAAGAAAUGAGUCUAAAGGCUGUUAUCCCUGUGGGUUAAUCCUCCUAGAUAACACUGACAUUUUAACAAAUGCUUUUAGUGCUAAAGAGGAAAUAUGUGGGAAAGUUUUUAGGCAUGGGCCAGGUGAAUGGAAUAGCCGUUUAUCAAAACAUUUAUUAGAUGUGUGUACUUCUAAAAUGAUGCCAUGCAGAUUGUUGCCUAAUUUGUAGAUCUAGUUCGUGCAUCCUCCAUCUCUCUCUCUCUAUUUCUCUUUCUCUUUCUGUUUGUCCCUUUCUUUCUGUCUGUCUCUCUGCCUCUAUAGCUCUAUUGCCCUAACUAUCUCUUUUCAGUGAAAUAUACUUCUCCCCUGCCAUACAAAAGUAUUGUAUUACUGCAUAUUCUUCAGUAUUCCCAUAUAGAUUUUAUGAUAACAAUUCUCUGAAAUGUGUAGAUUUGCUCGAUUCUGUUAUACAGUCAGACGUGUGUAACUAUUUUAUGCAUGCGUAAAA
rnacentral:lncRNA from 1 species